ensembl:lncRNA
AGAGCAAUAAAAGAAGCAUGAAAUUCAUCUGAUGCAGAUCACCUCAGGUAUCAGAAAAACACACAUCGUCUCUCCUUUUUCUAAUCUGGUUAACAGAUUUGAUAGUUUUCAACAAAAUGGAUGAAUCUGAUCUUAGAGUGGCAUGGUUAGCUGCCAGAUUGACAACUUUCUACAUUGCUCGCAGUUCAUCUCCUAAGGAUAAUGAAAAGCUUCUCCUCAAGAAGCUGCAAGGACUGGUCACAAAUUUAAAAUGGAGCUCAGAGGAUGUCACUAAGUUGUUUGACGCUCUUCUGGAGCGAUUUGAAUCAACAUCAACAAAUGACAGACCAGAUCUCCUCACAUGGAUGAUGGAAAUGUUGCACUGCAUAGAGAUUAAUUAUAUUACAUCCAGUUGCAUGAAGACAGGAACAGGAAGGACACUUAUCGAGCUGGUCAGAGACAAAACUAUAACGGAUUACUACUUCAAGAAAUGCUUAGCUGAUGAAGCAGAAAAGACACUAGAUGAAAUUCCUGAAGAGAUCCGUCAAGAAAAGUUAAACCAAGUUGAUGAAAAACUUUUAGCCGAUGUGAAAGAUAUUGUAUCAUCUGUGCAUGAAAAAAAAUCUGUGCAGAACGACGGAUCAGAGUGGAGUGAACUCAAAAAAAUCUUGCAGAAGCUUUGUUGGGCAGUGGAACAAACAGCUAAAUUCAAACCACGACUGACACAGAUGGUGAGCUGGUGUCUUUUGGCUCUUUCCAAAACAGGGCGGUUAAUUCAGGUUGGCACUGGAGAGGGGAAGUCAUGCAUAGUGGCAAUGUUUGCAGCUUUUCGAGCUCUGAGAGGAGAAAAAGUAGACAUCAUGUCUAGUUCUUCAGUUCUGGCAGAGAGAGAUUUGGAAGAAUGGAGAUCAUUUUAUAAAAUGUUGGGUAUCAGUGCAGACUGUAACACAAACAAACGAGGUCAAGACUCAAAAAAGUGUUAUGAGUGUAAAGUUGUUUAUGGCACUGUGGAAGAGUUUGCUGGAGACUGGCUUCGGCAGCACUUUAACAGGACAGACAUAUUUGGACAAAGAGGAUUCCAGUGUGCAAUCGUGGAUGAAGUGGAUUCGUUGAUGCUCGACAAAGGUCAUCACACGGUCUAUUUAAGUAGUGACAUGCCUGCUUUGCAACACCUCAACCCACUCUUGGCAUUCAUAUGGGCCACUGCUAAUCAGUACAUUGAGAUUGGUGCAGGGCAGACCGUGGGGCCUAAAUACCCCUUUCAUCAAGUUGUGCUUGAAAACAUUAAGGAAGCUGAUGAGCUUGCUAUUCUUCAAAUAGCUGAGGACAUAGGUGUACUGCCAAAGGGGUCUAUCAAGGACCUAAGAAGGAACCCAAAGCUUUUUACUGAAAAAGUUUCAAGUGUUUCAGCUAACCAGUUGGCUGAGUUCUUUAAGAGAGUAGAGAGGAGAUUUCCAUCUUGCCAGUUUGCCCUCUACUGCAAAAAUAGCAAUGGAGCACUUGAGGAACUGAACAAAGCAUCUCUAAGGGAAAAUGAGGAAAGACAGAGGGUGCCAGUGCUUUUAAUUGAAGGUGGCUUUUGUCAGUACAUCUACUCUGAUGAAAAUAGCGUGCUGAGCGCUGCAGAAGCAGAAAUAAAGCGUGCUCUGCAUUUCACACCAUGUGAACUGAGCCAGGCUAAAAGCAGCUGCUAUAUCCCGGGCUUCUUCUCAGAUCUGGUUAAAUCCAAACUUAAAGUUUGGAUUGCAAAUGCAUUCCAUGCUAAAACCAUGACAAAGGACCAUGAAUAUAUAAUAGAGACACAUGGAAUAGUGCCUGUGGACUACAGCUGUACAGGUGUUGUUGAAAACUACAUGCAAUGGACAGAUGGACUUCAUCAGUUUCUUCAAAUGAAACACCAGGGUAAGCUUAGUGACAUGACAGCAAUCACAAACUUUAUGUCCAAUGUUGGCUUGCUUCAAAAAUAUGGAAAUCAGAUCUAUGGAAUGUCAGGAACUCUUGGCCAACAAGCAGAGACUGAGACUUUGCAGAAAAUCUAUGAAGGUAUCAAAACCUGUCAGAUACCUUCAUUCAAACGCAGAAAGCUGUUUGAGGUUGAAGGGCUGGUUGUAAAGGAUGAAGAAGAAUGGAUUAAGAAAAUCUGUGAUGCUGUUACUGCACAAACCAGCCUGACACCAUACAGGGGUCCAAGAGCUGUGCUGGUCAUCUGUGAGACCAUCAAACGAGCAAAGGCUGUCUAUCAUGCUCUGGGAGAUAAGGUCCCAAACAAAGAGCUGUACAUAAACAACAACAUGGACAAUCGGAAAAUCUUUGCCAAGAAGCUUGAAGAAGUCAUCAUUGCCACAAACCUUGCCGGUCGAGGAACAGACCUUCAGGUUUCUGAAGAAGUUAAAAGAGCUGGAGGUUUGUUUGUUGUGCAGACCUUUCUCCCAAAGAACGCCCGUGUGGAGGCCCAGGCAUUUGGACGCACUGCCAGACAGGGAUCCCCUGGGUCUGCUCAGCUCAUCGUCUGUUCCAACCAUCUUUCAGAGCCACUUCAAUUACUAAUUUUAACAAAGAAACUUCUAUCUCUUUUUGAAAACAUGCUAGAUGCCACUUCACUUCAUCAAAAAAUGUUUGUGAUGCAAUUGCGGCUGUAUCAGAGAAGCCACAGCGAUGGAAAAGCUAAAGCAAUGUCUCUGGCACAGUCACAUAUUUUGUCUGAAAAAUCCAAGUCAGAAAUACAGAUCGCCAAAGAGGUCAGAGACAAGUCAGUGGCUGAAGAACUAUCCAGCUACCUAAUGUGUGUGGUCCCAAAAAUAAAGAAAGAGGAAAAGCUCUUCAGUCUGUAUCUGGACAUACUAAAUGAGGUGUACAGAAGCAGUAACAACAAGCCAGCAGCUUCAGAAUUGUCUGCACUGAAUGAAUUCUGGGGUAUGUGGCUACUCACAAGCUUCAAUGAGAAAGACUCUAUCUCAGAUCUGAAAAGCAGACUGGAUACUGACCUCAACAUCGCCAGGGAAAAACUCAGACAGAGAGAGUCACCCUCAUCAAACCUGCACCACUACACUGCCUUUGGCAAUGACCUACGUGAAAAAGGAAAACUUGCAGAGAGCAUCAGAAUGUACAGUAAAGCCAUAGAGGCAGACGCCUGCUGGGCAGCAAUUGCCUACUACAACCGUGCUUUCACAUCUCUGAUCCAGCAAAACUCACAUCAGAAUCCAGACUGCAUCGAACGAGCUCUGGAAGAUUUGCAAACCGCACUGAAAUCUGUUGAGUUUUACUGUGAACAGCUUGAAGUCACUCACAGAUACUCCAAACCACAAACCGAGGACCUCUGCAGUGAUUUAAACACCAGGUUUGAUGGACACAUGAAGGCCAGAUGCAGAGUGUUUCUGCUUUUCAAGGAAAACAUUAAAGAGGCCAUAAAGAAAGUCGACAGGGCCAGAGACAUGGGUGGGAAUGUAAAGGUGGAGGAGGAACUCGUCUACUUCCUGGUUCCACUUGUGGAUUUUCUGCCCUUGGCAAUCCUUUCCAUGGAAUCAGUGGAUGAAAUUCGACGUAGAGACAUUCUGAGGAUCCACCAGCUUGUCAGCCAUCCCUCCUUUGACAUUCUGAAUGAACUCAGGUGUCUUGAGUCUCUGGGCCUGACUCAUAUCUAUACUUUAGACACACUGUUCUCUGUAGGGGGCUUUUUCUCAAAGAUAGGUCGGAAAAUACGCCAAGCUCUUGAUUAGAGGGAAGGAAUUCACAGUCUGAGCAAAAUCUGCAAGCAAACAAUGAUGUGUGGAAAGCUUGCAUGGACUAAGAAACACAGCACAGUUCUGACAUGCUGUGGGACUCUGAGCUAAUAUUUUUGGCUUCAUUUGUAGUUUUUGCUGCAGCUUUGAGGAUACUUAUCAUCCUUUAGAAAUCAUUUUGAUAGUAACUGAACUUAAUACACAUUCCUUCUCCACUGUUACAGGACACAUAAUAUGGGAAUAUUUUUUUAAUAUUUGAUAUCAGUUCAAAUGAGUAAUAGCUAUAUGCAAUAUAUAAUUAAUAUGUUCAUUUUGUUGAGGUUUUUGACUGUAUUUGAUUUUGAUGAAAAAUCUAUUCAAUCGAGAGUUUUGUUAAAUGCAAUUUAUUAUUAUUAUUAUUAUUAUUAUUAUUAUUAGCAGUAAUAUUGUGAUGUUGUGGAACUGAAACUACUGAUAUAUGUAUAUACUCAUUUUUGUUGAGAUUUUUUCCCUUUAUUUUAAAUGUUAUUAAUAAUUAAGCAUAAAGAUCCAUUAACUUGAGCCUGUGUUGUAACUGUAUUUAAAUGAAUGUUGAGGUAGUGAUACUACAUUGAUAUUAUCAGAGAAAAAUUGGGAUGUAUUAAGGUUACUGAUGUAAUACUUGAUAAAGGAAUAUAUUUCUGAUGACAUAUUUUUUAUGACAUUUUAAACCAAAAUUGAUUCUGUGCAAUUAAAAUAAAUCUAUAAUUACGACACAGACUGAUAGUUAUUUGAAAUACAU